CCACUGAGCCACGACGGGAACUCCAGGGUUGGUAAAUUCUUUAACCCUACAACGUCAUGACUGUUUCCAUCUUUCUUCCAGCUCCCUGCACAAUGCAAGAUGGCUCUUCUGUUACGAGCAGGUGUAGAUGCAGGAACAGCAUCCUUAGAAGAAAUAAACGUUUUCUUCCAAUGCACAUCUUUUGGGAAAGAAACCUCCCUGAAUAUUGACAUCCCCCCACCCCAGAAGGUGCAUCCCAUUAGCCAGAAUGCUUGAUGGAGAUAUCCCUCACGGGUCCUCCCUGAAUCUGCAUCAUCAGAUGUGUGACAGAGCCUGUGAUCUUGUUGCGGAGCUUCUUGCUGGAAAUAAUGGCAGUCUCCUUGCACACGCUCUUGGUGGUGUGGGAGUCGUUGCCCAGGCUCGUGGAGUACUUCUCAAUGAUGACCCGGGCCACCUUCUUCACGGUCUUGGCAAACAUGGCAGGUCCUUGGUAAAAGAGGAAAAAAGCACUUUCAAGCCAGAAGUAUCUGCCUGAAUAUAUACGUUGUGAUUAAAACUGUCAACAUCAUUCUGCGUGAUGAUGGCUCUACUGACUCCUGCCACCUACACAGUCUGAAGGAAGCAGUGUUGCUCACUUGGUGAAUGACAAUCAGGACAGACGGAGACACUCACUGGUAGAAAAUGAACAAGUCUUACUGGAUGAGUUUCAAUAUGGACACCUUGGGAUCUGUCUUUUUCAACCUGGGGAAUUCCAGGCAUAAAGAUGAGUAAAGCAUUUUCAUCUGAGAUAGUGCCCAAACUCAAUUUUCAUGGAAAACUACUCUUUUCAUUGAAUGCAUGCGCCCAUAGGACUUGGAUUUUAAGUCCCUUCAGAUUCUCAAGACUGAGGGCUAAACACACAUCACCUCCAUAUGUGUCUCUUUGGGCCCCCUCAUCUUCUAUUUCUUUUCAUCUCAUUUUUGUUGAAGCCUACUUUGCAGAAGGAAACCAUGGACUUAUCUUUCUUAAACACAUAAAAGCCAAU